GACGUAGGGCGCGAGCGUUGUCCGGAUUUAUUGGGCGUAAAGAGCUCGUAGGCGGCUUGUUGCGUCGACCGUGAAAACCCGGGGCUCAACUUCGGGCUUGCGGUCGAUACGGGCGGGCUAGAGUUCGGUAGGGGAGACUGGAAUUCCUGGUGUAGCGGUGAAAUGCGCAGAUAUCAGGAGGAACACCGGUGGCGAAGGCGGCGCUCGUGGACCGAGACUGACGCUGAGGCGCGAAGCGUGGGGAGCAAACAGG
rnacentral:rRNA from 1 species